rnacentral:rRNA from 1 species
CCUACGGGCGGCAGCAGUGAGGAAUAUUGGUCAAUGGACGAGAGUCUGAACCAGCCAAGUAGCGUGAAGGAAGAAUGCCCUAUGGGUUGUAAACCUCUUUUAUCAGGGAGUAAAGUCAGCCACGUGUGCGUGUUUGCAAGUACUUGAUGAAUAAGCAUCGGCUAACUCCGUGCCAGCAGCCGCGGUAAUACGGAGGAUGCGAGCGUUAUCCGGAUUUAUUGGGUUUAAAGGGUGCGUAGGUGGGUUAUCAAGUCAGCGGUAAAAUUGUGGAGCUCAACGUCAUACUGCCGUUGAAACUGGUAGUCUUGAGUGGGGGAGAGGUAGGCGGAAUGCGUGGUGUAGCGGUGAAAUGCAUAGAGAUCACGAAGAACUCCGAUUGCGAAGGCAGCUUAC